ACUAUUUUUCCAAUUGGACCAGAAAUUGGAAUGAAAGUCUUGAAUUCUGUUCAUCGCUUGAUGCUUCUCUGGUCAUAAUAAAAACCAAAUCAGACCUGGAAAUCAUCAACCGUUACAAAGAACAUUUUUACUACUGGAUUGGACUGACAAAAGGAGCUGAAGGGUGGCGAUGGGUGGAUGGAUCACCUUUUACAAAUGACAUAAUCACACUUGAGAAUGAGGCACCAAACCUGAACUGUGGUUACCUGAAUACAGAGAAGAUUGUUACCAUAGCCUGCGAAUCUCUCAGGCG